rnacentral:rRNA from 1 species
GAUGAACGCUGGCGGCGUGCCUAAUACAUGCAAGUCGAGCGAACAGAUGAGGAGCUUGCUCCUCUGACGUUAGCGGCGGACGGGUGAGUAACACGUGGAUAACCUACCUAUAAGACUGGGAUAACUUCGGGAAACCGGAGCUAAUACCGGAUAAUAUAUUGAACCGCAUGGUUCAAUAGUGAAAGACGGUUUUGCUGUCACUUAUAGAUGGAUCCGCGCCGCAUUAGCUAGUUGGUAAGGUAACGGCUUACCAAGGCAACGAUGCGUAGCCGACCUGAGAGGGUGAUCGGCCACACUGGAACUGAGACACGGUCCAGACUCCUACGGGAGGCAGCAGUAGGGAAUCUUCCGCAAAGGGCGAAAGCCUGACGGAGCAACGCCGCGUGAGUGAUGAAGGUCUUCGGAUCGUAAAACUCUGUUAUUAGGGAGGAACAAAUGUGUAAGUAACUAUGCACGUCUUGACGGUACCUAAUCAGAAAGCCACGGCUAACUACGUG